rnacentral:rRNA from 1 species
GAUGAACGCUAGCGGCAGGCCUAAUACAUGCAAGCCGAACGGCAAGUUUGAUAGCAAUAUUGGACCUAGAGUGGCGCAAGGGUGCGUAACACGUAUGCAACCUGCCCGCGACAGGAGGAUAGCUCCCCGAAAGGGGAAUUAACCCUCCAUAACACCAUGAGAAGGCAUCUGAUUAUGGUUAAACCGCAAGGGGUCGAGGAUGGGCAUGCGGUUGAUUAGCUAGUUGGCGGGGUAAAGGCCCACCAAGGCGGUGAUCAAUAGGGGUUCUGAGAGGAAGGUCCCCCACACUGGCACUGGGAUACGGGCCAGACUCCUACGGGAGGCAGCAGUAGGGAAUAUUGGACAAUGGUUGCAAGACUGAUCCAGCCAUGCCGCGUGCAGGAAGAAGGCCUUCUGGGUCGUAAACUGCUUUUUCCUGUGGAUAAAAUACCCGUGCGCGGGGAAUUGAAGGUAACAGGGGAAUAAGCCACGGCUAACUACGUG